CCUUUUAGGGAGACCUACCCAACUUGGAAUCGAAAGCGCACAGCAAAUAGAGAACAAGAUGGUCAACCUAGGUCGGUCGCAGAGGAUUGUGUAAGCUUUCAAACUAUAUUUGGUUCGUAUUGGGGCUAUUAGCUCAGGUGGUUAGAGCGCACCCCUGAUAAGGGUGAGGUCCCUGGUUCGAGUCCAGGAUGGCCCACCUGAAAGCAAUUGGCAAUGUGCAAUUCGCAAUUCGCUAUUAAUAACUGCGAAUUGAAAAUUGUGAACUGCGAAUUGUGUGGGGGGGUUUAGCUCAGUUGGUAGAGCGCCUGCUUUGCAAGCAGGAUGUCAGCGGUUCGAGUCCGCUAACCUCCACCUGAAAAAACAAAAAACAAAGGAAAAAAGACCAGCACCUAACAAAUAGAAAGAGUUAGAAUGCUGGGUUGAAUCCUAGCCAGAACCUUGAAAACUGCAUAGAAACGCGAUUGUAUAGCAGGCAGUCAAAAAAGUCAAAAGUGAAAAGUCAAAAGGCAAAAAAGCUAAAAGACCGGAAACAAAAGACAAAAGACUGCGGGUGAAACACCAAUUGUUAAGUGGUCAAGCGAAAAAGAGCU
rnacentral:tRNA from 1 species